GCAAGUGUUUCACUUUCAUUUCAAAACAAGUAAAAGCUAUCAAGUGCAUAAAGGGGAAAAAAAGGAAACAUUUUCUUUCACAGAUCGGCAACUCCAGAACGAACGGCAGGACUGGCUUCUCCCACCGUGUCUCAGACAGUCCCGAGAGCCACUGCAGGAUGCAGGGAAACCUUCAUGGCUAGAGGUAAGAAGCAGGUGCCUUGUGCUCUGUCACCCACAACUUACAUAAAACCGGAUCAGACCACCCACAGCGGUGUCUGUGAAGCAAUGCAGACUUGGCACCGAGAUGCGCACAUUUUUUUCCCCUUUAUAAGAGAUAAAGACUCUGAGCCUCAGGGAGGCUUGGAAGAAUGCAAUGAGGUCACUCCACAUCUGUUGAUGUCAGGGCCUGAACCCACAUCAUCUGACUCCCAUUGGCACCCCUGGUCUCGCACCUCCACCAACUGACACUCGUGACUAAAGAGGAAUAGAAACCUACUUGAACAUUUUCCGUGAUCUGGAGAUUAACCAAACCUGGUUGUGUAAUCUUCUAGAAAGAAAUAUAUAGCUCUGUAUCUCAGCUCGCAAAUAGUUUCUGAGUAUCUGCUAGAAGCAAAGCAUUGCUAUAGGGCCCAAGGGACCUGAAAAUAAAUGAGAGACGGCUUCCAGUGAGCCAGCAACUUCCAAAGCAUGUGUCUAAUAGAAGGAAAAUUCCCCAGUCAACCAGAGCAAAGGAACUCUACAGGGAAGGCCGUGGGAUCGCUGUGUAGACGAACAGCAUGAGGUGGGGAAGUGUCUUGGGAGCCCUCCCAUUUCAUACCAGGUGGAGCUUUGGCAAUUACGACAAGAACUUAAGGUCAGAGGAAAACUCAGAAGAAGAGAAUAAAAACCACACUUUCUGACAAAAGGUAUGUUUUUCUUAUGUUGACUCCAUUAUGACUUGACAGGGCCAUCGGAUGCCCAGAUAUUUGGUCCAAUGUUAUUUCAUGGGUUUCUAUGUGGUGCUGGCUGGUUCGACUCCUGCUCUCCACAUAUCUAGGGACCAUUGAGCGCCAGGCAGAACGGAAGAAAUGAAGCUUGUCCGUCCGGGUGGGUUCUCAGGAUCUCAGUUGGUGUGAGUGCUGGGUAGAAACAGCCUUCUCUGGGGGUUUCCAGUGAAACAGCUUUCCUUUGGGGGGGUGUAACAAGGGCCAUAUAAACCUUGGGGAGUGGGUAGGGGGUUUGGGGAUAAGUGUAUAUUAUUGGCUGGGGCUGAGUGCUGGGAACACUUCAUUUGCAUAAAGAGGAAUUCCAAGUGCUAGCCGGGCAUAUGUCCUUACAGGGAAAGAGGAAGUUAAGCCUAUAAUUUGGCCACCAAACUACCUGAUUACCUUAGCAGUGGUGGACCUGGAGUUUGCAAAAUCUAUGCACACCAGAGCAUGCAGGAACCAGAACAGGGAGGGAUCGAUGCUUGGUCCCGCUGGUCUCAAAACGAGCUUUUUUCAUGGUUUGGACAUGUCUCAACCUCUUGCUCUAGGUCUGUUCCUCAGGUUGUGCGGGCCUCUUUUGUCCCACAAUGGGGUUAAUGUUAGUCAAUUUCUCCUUGGCGCGAUGCACAUCUGAAAGAAACUUCUUAGGGAUCGUGGUGUUUAGAAUGAAAAUUGUUCCCUAUGGUUUAGGGUAUUUGCACACUUGGUCCCCAGUGGGUGGCACUGUUCAGGGAGAUUUAGGAACUGUGGCCUUGCUGGAGGAAGGACGUCACUGGGAGCGGGCUUUCUAGCGUUUUAGCCACACCCACUUCUAGUUCACUCCAAGGCUUCACUCUGGAAGUUGGAAGAUGUGACCUCUCCGCUCCUUGUUUCUGCUCUCGUGCCUGCCCUUCCUCCCCACCAUGAUGACUCUUAUCCUUCCAGAGCUGUAAACCCAAACGGACCCUUCAUUCCACGAGUUGCUUUUGGUCGUGAUGUUUUGCCAGAGCACGGAAAAUUAACCAAUACAAGGACAGAUGAUCACUUUUGCCACUGCGAUGGUGGAUGACAUGGCGUCACAGAACAACUCGGAAUAUCAGGGUUAAAGCACACGGUAGGAUUUAAAUGAUGACAACUCCACAUGAGUCUCUGCCCCUGAGGACCUUCAGUGGGACGAGUUUGGAGACAGAAGAUAGUCCACUGAUGGCUCUGCUUCUGAUGGGAUGUGACCAGCUGCAUCAAGUUCCUGCCAUCUUGACAUUCCCACAGCGAUGGACAGUGACCUAAAGUCGUGAAUCCGAUAAACCCUCCUCCUUUAUGUUGCUUUUGUCAGGGUAUCAUGUCACAGCAACAGGAAAGGAAGCUACGACAGCCUCUCAGUACCGCCUCCCUGGAACGUUCUCUGUCCUCUGACUUCAUCUGUCCAACCUGUGUGUGUCCUGCUAUCUGUGGCUUCUUUCAGCCGUAGAGUCUUUGUUGUUUAGCUCCAGGUGGGUAUUUCCGUAAAGUGGCGAGUGUCUGCUGAGAGUUGCAUCUGCCUGUCGUGCAUAGUGUGAGCAGCCCGCAUGUGGAACUAGGAGGACUGCAAACAGACUAGAAGAAAAGCGAGGCACAUUUGCUGCAAGUGUGGUCUCAGCACCGUGUGAUGCGGCUCCCCUUUGCAGAACUUAAGGAGGAGGAGAAGCUUUCAGUUAUGAAGACCUGGUGUUUGCCAAAGGAAAUGCUGAAGGGAGUUUUGCUGCUCAGUCAUGGUGUAUAAACUCCGUGAGUGACAUCAGGGUUUGUGGAAGUAUUAGGGUUGGGUGGCAAAAGUUUCUCUACAUUAUCAAGAACCUUGAGGAAGCAGCUGAACUGAACCCUAAAGUUGAGACUUCGACUCCCUUGACAGUGUUAGGUGCUGAGUACCUGCCAUCUACAUCCUGUCCAAAUGCAGAGAACACUUGACCAACUGAUGUUAUCUACAACGCAGCCAUUUUACCUGAAGCUUAGUGGACAUCAGAGGAGGGGGAAUAGAAAGAUCAUAAAAGCCAGAGAACCAGAGUGUCUGCUGUGAGAUAAUGUCUUCUAGUCAUGACAAAGAAAUUGUAGCCAUGAAAUCUUAAAAAAUAUGGUUACCUAAACAAGAUCUGCACAAUGACUAUACCAGUUGCACACCAGUAUAGAUGGGGGAAAGUCUCACAAGGCUGCAUCUCAGUAUGAGGAGCUGAAGGAAUUAGUGGCUAAUAAAAUAGGGAGAAUUAGAAUUCUCCAGGGACAAACACUCUAAUAGGUUAUCUAAUCCAAUGUGGUCAGCCC
rnacentral:sRNA from 1 species